rnacentral:rRNA from 1 species
GAGGGGGAUAACACUUGGAAACAGGUGCUAAUACCGCAUAACCAUAGUUACCGCAUGGUAACUAUGUAAAAGGUGGCUAUGCUACCGCUUUUGGAUGGGCCCGCGACGCAUUAGCUAGUUGGUGGGGUAAAGGCUUACCAAGGCAAUGAUGCGUAGCCGAACUGAGAGGUUGAUCGGCCACAUUGGGACUGAGACACGGCCCAAACUCCUACGGGAGGCAGCAGUAGGGAAUCUUCCACAAUGGGCGAAAGCCUGAUGGAGCAACGCCGCGUGGGUGAAGAAGGUCUUCGGAUCGUAAAACCCUGUUGUUAGAGAAGAAAGUGCGUGAGAGUAACUGUUCACGUUUCGACGGUAUCUAACCAGAAAGCCACGGCUAACUACGUGCCAGCAGCCGCGGUAAUACGUAGGUGGCAAGCGUUAUCCGGAUUUAUUGGGCGUAAAGAGAACGCAGGCGGUCUUUUAAGUCUGAUGUGAAAGCCUUCGGCUUAACCGGAGUAGUGCAUUGGAAACUGGGAGACUUGAGUGCAGAAGAGGAGAGUGGAACUCCAUGUGUAGCGGUGAAAUGCGUAGAUAUAUGGAAGAACACCAGUGGCGAAAGCGGCUCUCUGGUCUGUAACUGACGCUGAGGUUCGAAAGCGUGGGUAGCAAACAGGAUUAGAUACCCUGGUAGUCCACGCCGUAAACGAUGAAUGCUAAGUGUUGGAGGGUUUCCGCCCUUCAGUGCUGCAG